rnacentral:misc_RNA from 1 species
CCACCAUCAACCGCUGCGCUUUUUCGCAGCCGGCUUGGAUCAUUGGGCUUGGUAGGCUCGCUCACGCAUCCCACCAGCCUCAAAGGCAGCAGGUCGUCCGUCUUGGGCGGUUGGACCGAGCGUUGUAGAGUCACCUCGCUCGGGACGCCGGAGCGGUCAGCCCCAAAAACCAGCCAUUCGCUGCUCAAGCGA